rnacentral:sRNA from 1 species
AACAAGUUUUCGUCUUGAAGUGUUUAAAAGAGCAAGAAUAGUAAUAUUUACGUGGGUAAACCACAAGGAGGAACAAACAUGUUACAAGGUAAAGUAAAAUGGUUCAAUGCAGAAAAAGGUUUUGGAUUCAUCGAAGUUGAAGGUCAAGACGACGUAUUCGUACACUUCUCCGCAAUCCAAGGCGAUGGUUUCAAAUCUUUAGAAGAAGGUCAAGAAGUUUCUUUCGAAAUCGUUGAAGGCGCUCGUGGACCUCAAGCUGCUAACGUUACAAAAUAAUGCUAAUGCUAGCCAAAUAGAAAAGGACUCCAUCUCGGGGUCCUUUUUGU